rnacentral:tRNA from 1 species
GGCGGCGUAGCCAAGUGGUAAGGCGACGGACUGCAAAUCCGUUAUUCGCCGGUUCGACUCCGGCCGCCGCCUCCA